UAUUACUGAGUUUACGCUCUACAACCCUUUGUGAACAUACCUAUAACUGUUGCUUCGGCGGGCAGGGUCUCCGUGACCCUCCCGGCCUCCCGCCCCCGGGCGGGUCGGCGCCCGCCGGAGGAUAACCAAACUCUGAUUUAACGACGUUUCUUCUGAGUGGUACAAGCAAAUAAUCAAAACUUUUAACAACGGAUCUCUUGGUUCUGGCAUCGAUGAAGAACGCAGCGAAAUGCGAUAAGUAAUGUGAAUUGCAGAAUUCAGUGAAUCAUCGAAUCUUUGAACGCACAUUGCGCCCGCCAGCAUUCUGGCGGGCAUGCCUGUUCGAGCGUCAUUUCAACCCUCAAGCUCUGCUUGGUGUUGGGGCCCUACAGCCGAUGUAGGCCCUCAAAGGUAGUGGCGGACCCUCCCGGAGCCUCCUUUGCGUAGUAACUUUACGUCUCGCACUGGGAUCCGGAGGGACUCUUGCCGUAAAACCCCCAACUUUCCAAAGGUUGACCUCGGAUCAGGUAGGAAUACCCGCUGAACUUAAGCU
rnacentral:sRNA from 1 species